rnacentral:misc_RNA from 1 species
GGAAGUAAAAAUCGUAACAAGGUUUCCGUAGGUGAACCUGCGGAAGGAUCAUUAUUGUAUAACCGAGGUGCGAGGGCUGUCGCUGACCCGAAAGGUCGUGCACGCCCGAGUGCCCUCACACACAUCCAUCUCACCCCUAUGUGCACCACCGCGUGGGUCCCCCUUUGGCUUGUUCGGAGGGGGGCUUACGUUUUCACACAAACUUUGUAUGCAGUGUAGAAUGUAUUUUUUGUUUUUGCGAUCACGCAACCAAUACAACUUUCAACAACGGAUCUCUUGGCUCUC